CCCCCGCCCCUGUCGCACCAGGCAGCCGUGGCAUGGCCCGUGCCCCUCUGGCAGCACCAGGCGGAAUCCAGCCUGCAUCACAAUGGAUGGAAGGAGCACAAUCUAUUUAGUUUAACAAAGAGAAGGUUAAGGAGUGACUCUCCCCCCACAGUGCAAAGACUUGCCUAGGGCCGUAUGAAAUGAAGCAGCGGGCCGGAUCUGACCCGCAGGCCGUAGGUUCCCCACCCCUGGUGUAACAUGAUCCAAUGGCUGGAAGUUGAAGGUGGAGGUAAUUCUAGCAGACAUCUCACUGCUAAGGGUAAGCAGGGAAACGAGGAUACAGCUACUCCAUGCUUGUGGCUUCUGCCCUUCUCCCUAUACUGCUCACCUAUGUGCCGCUUUGGUCCCUGCACAAGUAAUUGCCGAAUGGCAUGGGAAAGCUUCCUACAAUGGGGGGGAAGGAACAAAUCUGCUCUGCCAUAGAACCUUCGGCAGAGGAUUACUGAGUACCGCCAGGAAACUUUCCUGGAGAUCUCUCUGGAGGAUUCCCGUGAGAUCUCAGCGUGCAUAACACUCUGUUCCGCCGUACUGAUUAGCUACACAGGGAAACGUCCAGCUUACAGAAACCCAGACAGCUUCCCACAUUUGUAUGCCCUGAACCCACCUCUGCACUACACAAGCCACAGCCACUUACCAGAAGUCUCAUCUCCUGCUUCUUGCUCGACGGAGAGCAACUGCUGAGCCUGGCUAGGCACCGCUGGAGUGGAGAACAGUUCCUGGCUGCCUGCUCCGUCGGGCGACCCCACUGGGAGCUGCACAUCCUCAUCUAACUCCACCUCUUCAUCAAUAACUUUGUCCUCCAUGUUAUGUCUUCUUUCAGUCGCCACCGUGCCCUCCGAAGUAUCCACGGGGCUCUGGGUGAUGGAGGUGGGGUUGCCACCAAGGAUAGUGUCCAGCUCCUUAUAGAACUGGCAGGUCUUAGGUGAAGCACCAGAGCGAUGGUUUGCCUACCUUGCCUUAUGGUAGGCCUGCCUCAGCUCAUUUAUCUUUGCUCUGCACUGCAGAGUGUCCCGAUCAUAGAGCCCGUAGGUAUCCCAAUUCCUGCGGCUCAAGCACAGCUAGGACUGCACAGCCUCCUUUUCCCAUAUACUGAGCAGAUCCAACAGCUCUGCUGUGGUCCAGGUGAGAGAGUAUUUGCUGUGGUAACCAGUCACCUGGGAAGAUUCAAUGAGACCUCUCCAACCGAGCACACAGGAAAUGGAAUUUCAAAAAUUCCCAGGGCUUCUAAAGGGGAGGGGCGGAUGGUUGUUUUCUUGGCUGCAAGCAGUGGAGUUCAAAUAGCUGACCAGAGCAGUCAGGAUGGGCACUGUGGGACACCUCCUGGAGGCCAUUAAAGUGAUGAAAUGAAGUGUGGUGUCUACACUUGCACUUUGUCGACAAAAACAUAGAGGAAAAAGAUGUAAAUCUCUCAUGAGGAUGGAUGUAUUUUGUCGCAAAAACCAGGCAUUCUCCCUGACAAAAAUCGCCUGUCAGUGUGUAUGCACUCAUGGUUUGGGUCGACAAACGGCAGUUUUGGCGACAAAACUUGGUAGUGUAGACAAGGUCUUAAUGAAUGCCAGUGAAAAUGAGGUAGGAUCAG